AACUAGCAAAAACACAACCACAAGUUAUGCCCGUGCUGUGCCUCUAGCAGCAAAGACAAGCGGUGUGGGGUUUUGGAUGAAUCUACACUUCUCGUCGGGGGAGAAAGGGAUUCCUGCGGAGCUGUAUUUACUUUACAUCCAUGUGAACUGCUGUCAUCACUACUGUGUCCAAGCCCAGAGGAUGAACUGGAAAAGAAGAGAGGGGGAAAAUAAUAAAAAGAGGAAAUUGGUUUUCACAACACACUCAAAGCCUGAGUAACAGAGGAGAACUUUAAUUAUCUCCAGUCACAAAGAGAGACAGGAAAUUUGGACUUUUAAUUAGCCAUUUGGAGUGCAGUUGGAUAUUUUUUUAGCUAGAUAAUUUAAACGCGAAUAAUUCAAGUCUGACUAAAUGAAAGUCACAUAAUCAGAAUGCAAAUAAUUGAAUUUCUACUGCAUUCAUUAAUUCAGUGUGGAGGUGUGUGUGAAGACUACUAUGAUGAGCUGUCACAGCUCAAUAAAAUCUCAGUCAAUUAAUUUUUUCAUUAUCUUAGUAUUACAUCAACAAAGAAGUGAAGUGUGUAUAUAUAUCUAUACACAUGCAUAUGUGCACUAUGUGUUACAUAAAUACAUAUACAUUAAAUCAAAAUGCAAGGAAAUACCUUUCUGAAUCA